GAUGAAGAACGCAGUGAAAUGCGAUAAGUAGCGUGAAUUGCAGAAUUCAGUGAAUCAUCGAAUCUUUGAACGCACAUUGCGCCCCAUGGUAUUCCGUGGGGCAUGCCUGUUCGAGCGUCAUUUACCCCCUCAAGCUCCGCUUGGUGUUGGGCGUCUGUCCCGCUUCGCGCGCGGACUCGCCCCAAAGGUAUUGGCAGCGGUCGUGCCAGCUUCUCGCGCAGCACAUUGCGCUUCUCGAGGCACCGGUGGGCCCGCGUCCAUCAAGCUCACCCCCCCAGUUUGACCUCGGAUCAGGUAGGGAUACCCGCUGAACUUAAGCAUAUCAAUAAGCGGAGGA
rnacentral:misc_RNA from 1 species